rnacentral:rRNA from 1 species
UACGUAGGGUGCAAGCGUUAAUCGGAAUUACUGGGCGUAAAGCGUGCGCAGGCGGUUAUGUAAGACAGUUGUGAAAUCCCCGGGCUCAACCUGGGAAUUGCGAUGGAGACUGCAAGGCUUGAAUCUGGCAGAGGGGGGUAGAAUUCCACGUGUAGCAGUGAAAUGCGUAGAGAUGUGGAGGAACACCGGAUGGCCGGAAGGCAGCCCCCUGGGUCAAGAUUGACGCUACGAUGGCAACGAAAGGCGUAGGGGAGCAAACAGG